GGGGAAUAUUGGACAAUGGGCGCAAGCCUGAUCCAGCCAUGCCGCGUGUGUGAAGAAGGCCUUCGGGUUGUAAAGCACUUUUGUUGGGGAAGAAACAGCGUCGGAUAAUACCUGGCGUGAAUGACGGUACCCAAAGAAUAAGCACCGGCUAACUUCGUGCCAGCAGCCGCGGUAAUACGAAGGGUGCAAGCGUUACUCGGAAUUACUGGGCGUAAAGCGUGCGUAGGCGGUUUGUUAAGUCUGAUGUGAAAGCCCCGGGCUCAACCUGGGAAUGGCAUUGGAUACUGGCAGGCUAGAAUGUGGUAGAGGGUGGUGGAAUUCCCGGUGUAGCGGUGAAAUGCGUAGAGAUCGGGAGGAACAUCCGUGGCGAAGGCGGCCACCUGGACCAACAUUGACGCUGAGGCACGAAAGCGUGGGGAGCAAAC
rnacentral:rRNA from 1 species